UGAACGCUGGCGGCGUGCCUAAUACAUGCAAGUCGAGCGCACGGACGAGAAGCUUGCUUCUCUGAUGUUAGCGGCGGACGGGUGAGUAACACGUGGAUAACCUACCUAUAAGACUGGGAUAACUUCGGGAAACCGGAGCUAAUACCGGAUAAUAUUUUGAACCGCAUGGUUCAAAAGUGAAAGACGGUCUUGCUGUCACUUAUAGAUGGAUCCGCGCUGCAUUAGCUAGUUGGUAAGGUAACGGCUUACCAAGGCAACGAUGCAUAGCCGACCUGAGAGGGUGAUCGGCCACACUGGAACUGAGACACGGUCCAGACUCCUACGGGAGGCAGCAGUAGGGAAUCUUCCGCAAUGGGCGAAAGCCUGACGGAGCAACGCCGCGUGAGUGAUGAAGGUCUUCGGAUCGUAAAACUCUGUUAUUAGGGAAGAACAUAUGUGUAAGUAACUGUGCACAUCUUGACGGUACCUAAUCAGAAAGCCACGGCUAACUACGUG
rnacentral:rRNA from 1 species